rnacentral:rRNA from 1 species
UACGUAGGGUGCGAGCGUUAAUCGGAAUUACUGGGCGUAAAGCGUGCGUAGGCGGUCCGCAAAGUCUGAUGUGAAAGCCCCGGGCUCAACCUGGGAACUGCAUUGGAAACUAACGGGCUCGAGUGUGGCAGAGGGGGGUGGAAUUCCACGUGUAGCAGUGAAAUGCGUAGAUAUGCGGAGGAACACCAGUGGCGAAGGCGGCUAUCUGGGCUUUAACUGACGCUGAGGCGCGAAGGCUAGGGGAGCAAACAGG